AUUUAGCAAGACCCAAUCUCAAAAAAAUAAAAAGGGCUAGGGAUGUAGCUCAGCAGUAGAACAUUAAACAUGCGUGAGACCUUGGGUUUGAUUCCUAGUACUGGGGCAGGGGAUGGGAAUAAAAUGGUCCAGUUCAAGUUCGGGGAAUAAUGUGAUGUUCCAGGUUUAUCCCAGCUUAGGGCUCAGUAAUGUUAGAGAAUUCACAUUUGGUUUUGGUCAGAUAGGGUUUUACCAAGAGCUCUGAUUAGCCAGGCAUGUGACUCACACCUGUAAUCCCAGCAACUUUGGAAACUAAAGCAGGAGGAUCACAAGUUCAAAGCCAGCCUCAGCAACUUAGCAAGGCCCUGUCUCAAAAUGAAAAAUAAAAAGGGCUGGGGAUGUGGCUCAGUGGUUAAGCACCCCUGUGUUCAAUCCCUAGUUCAAAAAAAUCAGAUUAGGUUCACAUUACAGUUUUUAAAAAUUCAUAUUUCCAUCCAGAGCACCUGGGGAUAGAAUGGAUUCAUGUAACCCUGGCUAUUAUUUCCUGGUGUGGUUGGGUGAAUCCCUCAAGCAUGAGACUCAUUCAUUCAGGCCAGAAAUGAAGCUGUGCCACUCACCUUGAGGCUCAGGCAGAUGAAUGGACAUUAUGGGGACAGCUCAGACCACAUUCCAGUCGAAGCACCUCUGGGUCUCUCUUCAACUAUGACUCCCCCCCCACAAGCCUCUAUGGAUUCUAAGUGUUAUACAGGAGAGCAGUUCAUGGGCUGGACCUUCUUACAGAAUUGGUUUUGUGUGUGUGUGUGUGUGUGUGUGUGUGUGUGUGUGGUGUUAGGAGCACUCUACCACUGAGCUACCGCCCCAGCCCUUUUUAUGUUUUAUUUAGAGACAAGUCCUCACCAAACUGCUGAGGCUGUCUUCAAAUUUGCAGUCCUCCUGCCUCAAUCCCAAAUUGCUGGGAUUAUAGGCAUGCGCUCAGCUCAGAAUCAGUUUUAUGAGUUCACAUUUACUUAACACCUAACCAAGUGCCAGGUGCUGUGCUUGGACACUGUCCAUGGAGGAUCUCAUUUAAUGCCCAUGGGCCCAGUGAGCUAGAUCAUAUAUAACACCAAGGGCAAAGCAGCUCAGAGAACAUGAUAACCUGCUCCUGACUUCAGCCCUGGGAUUUAAGCCAAGGAUUGUCCAACACGGAAUCCAGGCUGUGUACUCCUACCCUGGACCCCCCCAGCCCUAGAUCCCACCAUGUACAGAUGCUUCCUGAUGCCAAGGAGCUCACAGUUUGGGAAGACAAGAAAGCCCAGGACUGUCCUCCAGGGGUGGGAGAGCCCAGCCUCCCUCACCCCCACCCCCAAACUCUGUCACCACCACAGCCACUCUGGACACUGUGGUCACCAGCUACGAAGACCGGGUUGUCUGCCCCAGAUACCAACCACUUUGCAAAGUCAGCUAGCCAGGUCACAGGAGCCCAGAAGAAGGGACAGGGACUGGAAUUUAUUGGGUCCCCACCAAAUGCCAGGCCUGUGACUGAUGAGGUGCCUUGUUUAGCCCAGUUCAGAGCAGAAGACCACAAGGACAAGGGAGAGUGACCCAUGAAGGGUCUUGUGGGUAGAGAUAAGGCUGUGUGCCACUGAGGCUCUGCUGCACCUCACUGAGGAAACAUGCCAAGAGGUCAAGGUCAGGAUGGGAUGGCUCUCUAGUUCUUCAUGGACAAAGGGGAAGCAGGCAGGCCUCAGAGAGCCAGAGGAUCCAAAGGCAUGCAGAGGCAGGGCCACUUCACAGGCUGGGAGGGAAGUGAGCUGCCUUUCACUUGAAAUGCUUCCUUUCAUUUGAAAUGGUUCUUUUGUCUCCCAACAGAAGAUAAAGAUAUUGUGCCUGAGAAACUGCUGUGACUCCAUUUUUGAGAAACCAGCCUCUACCUCAGAGCAAAGCCUGUCCAAGGAAGGGGGAGUGACCCUUGUCCUUGGCAAAACCCACAGAGCACUCCUAAGCACAUACCCACCCUUCUGAGUUGUUUGCCUUCAGAUAACAGGAGAGAUCUGCUGCGCCAGGUGUCCCUGACUCAGUUAGGCUAGAUGAGGACCCAUGGCAACCCCCAAUCAGCAUGAGACAGGGAAAAUACCUGGGAUGCCAGAUGACCCCCCAGUUGUUUAUGGUAGUUGAUAACAUGUUGGGAAACCAUGUAGUUCAGCACGUACUCCCCUUGUGGCCUAAACCAAUCAGAUCAAAGGAAUCCCCUCUUGUACUAACCAAUCACCCCUACCCAACUUGUUCCCAUCAGUGAAUGUGCUAAUCAAUGUUAAGAGUUGUUGCUUGAUUUUCCCGAGGUGUGUAUUGAUUUGCUGUGUGACGUGACGCAUAGAGUAUCCCCCCAAAACCUAUAAAAUCUCACUGGAGAAAGGACUAG
rnacentral:lncRNA from 1 species